ACACAAAGUUUAAAAGUACUUGCUAUAAAACCAAAUUCUCAGUCAGUGUUUGUGUCCUGCAGUGCAACUAAAUAUCAUUAAUAUCAUUUUACAGUUUUGGGGUGAUAAUGGAAAUGCUACUGUAUGGAGUUCUGCUGUUGAUUAUUUCAUCUGUUGGUGGUCAGUCUUUGACCUCUUCAGAUUCUGUGGUGAAAAGACCAGGAGAAUCAGUCACUCUGUCCUGCAGUGUGUCUGGAAUCUCAAUGAGCAGCUACUACAUGGCUUGGAUCCGUCAGAAACCAGGGAGAGGACUGGAGUGGAUUGGGUAUAUAGAUACUGGCACAACUGCAUAUUAUGCUCAGUCUCUUCAAGGCCAGUUCUCAAUCACAAAAGACACCAGCAAAAACAUGCUGUAUUUAGAGGUGAAAAGCCUGAAGACUGAAGACACAGCUGUUUAUUACUGUGCAAGAGA